AAACUUAUCUUCUCUUCGUGGUCGGACUUUCAUUAAGUUUCUGAAUCUGUGAUUUUUCACAGAGAGUGAGCUGGAGACCGAGAUAUGGAGAAAAGAAACACAUAUAGAGAGAGUGUUAGGUAGAGAGAGAGUACGAGUUAAUUAUCGUGAGAAGAGAGUCACAGAUGCAGAAGAAUUUGAAGCCCUAAUUCUGCGACAUAUAAGAAAUUAGGCUCUCGAAAUUCGUCCUAGUGAUGCAGCUGUACUAUCCAACAUGAGUUUGUUCUAUGUCUAUUUGAGUAAAGGAGAUGAUGCCUUGGAAGAUGCAGAAUGAUGUGUGCUGGCAAAGCCAGACUGGCCAAAGGCUCAUUAUAGGAAAGGAGUAUCACUCAAACUACUGAAUGUAUGUACCCCGUUAUUCUGAAAUUUUGAAGUUAUGAACGAUUUCAUUGUUGUAUGAUAUGAAUUUAAACAUAGAAACAUUUUUGACACGUGCCGGAAUGUCAGUGUUCCUACCAGCGUGGCCAUUGAA